rnacentral:rRNA from 1 species
UAGGUAGUAAUAGUUAUGUUCUUGAAACUUAAAAAAUUUGGCGGUAUUUUAGUCUAUUCAGAGGAACUUGUUCUGUAAUUGAUAAUCCGCGUUGGACCUUACUUAAAUUUGUUUUUCAAUUUAUAUACCGUUGUUAUUUAAAUAUUUUUUAAAAAUUAUUAAUAUUUAAAAAUUUUUAUAAAAAUUUAUAUCAAAUCAAGGUGUAGUUUAUGUUUAAGUAGAAAUGAGUUACAAUAAAAAUAUUUGAUGGAUAUAAAUAUGAAAAAUUUAUUGAAAUUGGAUUUGAUAGUAAAAUUAUAAAGAUUAAUAAUUUGAUUAUAGCUCUAAAAUAUGU